rfam:Pteropus alecto contig80393, whole genome shotgun sequence.
GGUUCCAUAGUGUAGUGGUUAGCACAUCUGCUUUAAACAUAGAAGGUCCUAGGUUUGUGCCCCAGUGGAGCCA